rnacentral:lncRNA from 1 species
AUGGGAACGCAGCGGCCGCACUUGGCGGGUUGCCCGCGGUGGAGCGCGGAGCUCGGCGGGGCGCCGGGACGAGGUGAGGAGGGGUCCAGCCGCCCAGGGGGAGUCGGGGGGCCGCGGGCGUCCCCGGGCGGGCGCUGGGGGGCGCUGCGCGCCGGGCGGCUCGCCCCGCGGCAAGUUUGCCUCCAGCUGUUGAAUGCGCCCGCGACGGCGACGGCGACGGCGACGGCGGCGGCGGGACCCGGAGCCCGCGGGGUGAGCGGGGCGGGGGGCCGGGCGGGGCCGGGGCUCGGCGCUCCCCGCGGCCGCCGCCGCCGCCUCCCCGGGCGCUGCAGCUGCGGCGUUGGAGCCGGGCGGGCCCCCGCCCCGCGGCCGCGUGUCUGCGUGCGCGCGUGUCUGUGGAAGGAUCGGGCCGGGGGAGGGGGCGGGCGGGGUCUCGCUGCGGACGCGCCUGCGGACGGACGGACGGACAGACCGCGGGCCGCGGCCCCUGACGCACGCUGCGCUCCCACCCCGGCGGCGGCGGCCCGGGCCGGGCGGGCGGGGGCGGGGGGCGUCUGCGCGCACACGCGGGCUCGCAGACACACACACACGCACACGCGGGCCACGCCGCGCACACCCGCACCCGCGCCCGCGCUCACACUCACUCACACUCACACUCGCGCGCAGGCCCCGCAGCCGCCGCCGCCUCCGGAAGCGGCGCUCGGCCCGGAUCCCGGCCGGGCUGGAGAAGGAGAAGACCUGGGUGAGAAGCUGCUGCGCCUGAGCCAGACUGGGACCGAGACCCCGUUGCUCCUGCUGCCGCUGCCAGCGCAGGGCCUCCCUGAGACCAGGCCAGGGAUAGACCUCGUGGGCCGGAGGGGCCCCCUUAGCCUGCAGACAUCGGAGCCAGGAGACAGAUGGGUCUCUUCCUUCCUGUCCGUCUCUCAAGCUCCCUCCUCAGAGCUUCAUUCUCCAGCCUCCUGUGGGAAUCGUGGGAAUCGUCUGAAGUUUGAGCCUAGAACCAGAGGAGGAGGAGGAGGAGGAGGAAGAAGACAAGGAAGAGGAGGAGGAGGAGGGAGAGGAAGUCUUGAGAGCCCGUGCACCUUUCCAGAAACAGGCGGUGGGGGUGCGUCCCAGGCCCAUCCUCGGUGGCCCACGCCUGCCAGUAGCACCCCUGAGAGGACCCCCCCCCCACCGCCGCCCUCUACCGCGGUUGGCACCGGCCGCGUCUGCUCCCUCGGGGGGACCCCUGUGCCGGGGGUCGCCCCCAAGAUGGUGGCGGCCCCAGGGAGGACUGUGCCGCCAGCCCCAGCCUCCCGCUGCUAGGUCCCCUGUGCCCCGGGCCCCCCUUACCCCAAGCCCGGCCUUCCA